rnacentral:rRNA from 1 species
AUUGAACGCUGGCGGCAGGCCUAACACAUGCAAGUCGAGCGGAUGAAGGGAGCUUGCUCCUGGAUUCAGCGGCGGACGGGUGAGUAAUGCCUAGGAAUCUGCCUGGUAGUGGGGUAUAACGUCCGGAAACGGGCGCUAAUACCGCAUACUUCCUGAGGGAGAAAGUGGGGGAUCUUCGGACCUCACGCUAUCAGAUGAGCCUAGGUCGGAUUAGCUAGUUGGUGGGGUAAAGGCCUACCAAGGCGACGAUCCGUAACUGGUCUGAGAGGAUGAUCAGUCACAUUGGAAGUGAGACACGGACCAGAGUCCUACGGGAGGCAGCAGUGGGGAAUAUUGGACAAUGGGCGAAAGCCUGAUCCAGCCAUGCCGCGUGUGUGGAGAAGGUCUUCGGAUUGUAAAGCACUUUAAGUUGUGAGGAAGGGCAGUAAGUUAAUACCUUGCUGUUUUGACGGUACCAGCAGAAUAAGCACCGGCUAACUUCGUG